AUGAAGGCAAUGUUCUUUCCUGUUAUUACAGCAAAUGAGAUUAUUAGGAAAAAGGUCAUGGUAAGGAUCCAGGAAAAUAGAGACAAAUCUAACAGUUGGCCUGGAACCAUUUGCCCUAAUGUUUUCAAAAAAUUGAAGCUGAACAUCAAGAGGUCAGGGCUAUGUCAGGUUCUUUGGAAUGGGAAGGAAGGAUUUGAAGUUCAAGAAGAUGUGCAUCGGAGGUACACAGUUAACUUGGAGGCAUGGAAAUGUUCUUGCAGAUAUUGGGAACUGGCUGGUUUGCCCUGUCCUCAUGCUAUCAGUGCAAUUUACACAUGUGGUAAAAAACUAGAUGAUUAUAUUGCUCCAUGCUACUCUAUCUCUGAGUACAACAAGAUUUAUGACCAUGUGCUGCAACCAGUGGAGGGAAAAGAGAACUGGCCAGUUGCUGACAUGCCAAAACCUCCUCCUCCUCCUCAUAGAGUGAUGCCAGGAAGAAAAAAGACUAAAAGAAGAAGAGAAGAGGGUGAGAAACCUCAGGGGAACAAGCUUUCAAAAAAAGGCAUAAGAAUUUCAUGUUCUGUUUGUGGGAGCUUUGAUCACAACAAAAGAAAGUGUUUGGGAAAUCCAAAUAGAGAUAAGAAGCAGAAAGAUAACUACAAAAGAGAAGCACAAAGAGCAAGAAAGAAGAAGCAAAAGGAAUCAGAAAUCAACACUCAGGUGCCACAACCACCAAAGAGGACAAACAAUGCAGUAUCAUCAUCUUCUAGAGCACCGCCUAAUCCAGCGAAGAGGGCAAAGAAGCAAGCACCUCCAGCAAGAUCAUCUUCACAACAAGCACCUCCAGCAAGAUCAUCUUCACAACAAGCUUCUCAACAUACUGUAGAGAGAACAAGCAGGAUGAGGAGUCAGAACAGAGUAGGUUCAAGCUCACAGUCUGCUCCAAGAAAUUCAAGCUCAAUUCACAUGCAAGUGCCAACUAUUGACAGGCUGCAAUGA
rnacentral:rRNA from 1 species